rnacentral:rRNA from 1 species
CUACGGGUUGCACCAGUUAAGAAUAUUUUGCAAUGCGCGCAAGCGUGACAAAUUGAACCAGAGUGCUUUUCAAUUUGAAAAGCUUUUGCCAAAUCUAAAACGUUUGGCGAAUAAGGACUGGGUAAGACGAGUGCCAGCCGCCGCGGUAAUACUCGCGGUCCAAGUCGCAGCCAUAUUUAUUGGGUCUAAAACAUCCGUAGCUUGCUUGAUAAGUUUCUUGUGAAAUUCCAUAUCUUAAGUAUGGAGCGCGCAGGAAGUACUAUUCAGCUAGAGACUGGAAGACGUAAGAAGUACGAUUGAGGUAAUGGUAAAAUAUGUUAAUCUUAAUCGGACUAACAACAGCGAAGGCAUCUUACGAGGACAGUUCUGACAGUAAGGGAUGAAGGCUAGGGGCGCAAAACGGAUUAGAUACCCUCGUAGUC